rnacentral:rRNA from 1 species
CCUACGGGUGGCAGCAGUAGGGAAUAUUGCUCAAUGGGGGAAACCCUGAAGCAGCAACGCCGCGUGGAGGAUGAAGGUUUUCGGAUUGUAAACUCCUCUUGUUAGAGAAGAAAAUGACGGUAUCUAACGAAUAAGCCCCGGCUAACUCCGUGCCAGCAGCCGCGGUAAUACGGAGGGUGCAAGCGUUACACGGAUUUACUGGGCGUAAAGAGAGCGUAGGCGGGCUAGCAAGUCAGAUGUGAAAGCCUGUGGCGUAACCCCCGAACUGCAUUUGAAACUGUUAGUCUGGAGUACGGGAGAGGUAGGUGGAAUUCUUGGUGUAGGGGUAAAAGGCGUAGAUAUUAAGAGGAAUACUCAUUGCGAAGGCGACCUGCUGGAACGUAACUGACGCUGAUGCGCGAAAGCGUGGGGAGCAAACAGGAUUAGAUACCCCUGUAGUC